rnacentral:piRNA from 2 species
AGCCCAUGAUGGUAUGAGAGUAG